rnacentral:rRNA from 1 species
UUUCGCAAUGCCCGAAAGGGUGACGAAGCGACGCCGCGUGAGUGAGGAAGGCCUUCGGGUUGUAAAGCUCUGUCAGGAGUUAAGAAAUAUAAGUGUGCUAAUACCACAUUUAUUUGACGAAGGCUCCAAAGGAAGCCACGGCUAACUCUGUGCCAGCAGCCGCGGUAAUACAGAGGUGGGAAGCGUUGUUCGGAAUUAUUGGGCGUAAAGAGCACGUAGGUGGGUUUGUAAGUCAGAUGUGAAAGCCUUCUGUUCAACGGAAGAAUUGCAUCUGAAACUGCGAGUCUUGAGUGUAGGAGGGGAGAGUGGAACUUCUGGUGGAGCGGUGAAAUGCGUAGAUACCAGAAGGAACGCCGGCGGCGAAAGCGACUCUCUGGCCUAUUACUGACACUCAGUGUGCGAAAGCUAGGGGAGCAAACGGGAUUAGAUACCCCGGUAGUCCUAGCCGUAAACGAUGGGCACUAAGUAGAGGGGUUUUA